rnacentral:rRNA from 1 species
GACGAACGCUGGCGGCGUGCCUAAUACAUGCAAGUCGAACGCUUUUUCUUUCACCGGAGCUUGCUCCACCGAAAGAAAAAGAGUGGCGAACGGGUGAGUAACACGUGGGUAACCUGCCCAUCAGGAGGGGAUAACACUUGGAAACAGGUGCUAAUACCGUAUAACACUAUUUUCCGCAUGGAAGAAAGUUGAAAGGCGCUUUUGCGUCACUGAUGGAUGGACCCGCGGUGCAUUAGCUAGUUGGUGAGGUAACGGCUCACCAAGGCAACGAUGCAUAGCCGACCUGGGAGGGUGAUCGGCCACACUGGGACUGAGACACGGCCCAGACUCCUACGGGAGGCAGCAGUAGGGAAUCUUUGGCAAUGGACGAAAGUCUGACCGAGCAACGCCGCGUGAGUGAAGAAGGUUUUCGGAUCGUAAAACUCUGUUGUUAGAGAAGAACAAGGAUGAGAGUAAAAUGUUCAUCCCUUGACGGUAUCUAACCAGAAAGCCACGGCUAACUACGUGCCAGCAGCCGCCGUAA